rnacentral:lncRNA from 1 species
ACAAACAACAAUAGUCAUAUUUUAUUAUAUUGUUUUAAGUAUAUUUGCAUAAGAUUUGUGAUUAUUAAUUUCUGUUUUUGUUGGGACUAUAUGUUAAUAUAAAAAAAUUAUUUUAUUAAAUUUAAUAUAUUUUUACAUUAAUUGAAAUAAAAAAUUUAUUAUCUUAUAAUAAUUAUUAAUUUAUCGAAUAUUAAUUUAUAUAAAUUUUAUUAUAUCUUUCUUAUAUAUAGGCAGUAUUAAACGCCUAAGGGUUUUCAAUAGAUUGGUCGGCAUCUAGAGACCGUCGUGUGUGGUGGAUCUCGUUGUAUCAGUGGUUGUAGUAGUAUUACAAAACGUCAAAACCUCAUCCUUGGUGUCUUUUUCAGGAUGGUGGGUUGUAAUCAUUUGUGUGCAAGCGGUACUGCCUUGGGAUUGCGCAGUGGUGGAAAGGUUUUGCUUGUCAUUCCUUUUUGGUCUUGGUGUUUGUAGGAUUAAGCCUUGUUUUCCUUCACUGCUGCUCGCUCUUACCAUAUAUUUAUAUCUCUUUCUCUCUUUUGGUGUCUUCCGAUUGUUGAGAUUUCUGUUUUCCUUUUUGAGGCUUAGGUUUCUUCAUUGGGUUAGGUUUCUUUCUUCAAUGGGUUAAGUUUCUUUUCUUCAAUUAAAUGAAUAAAUUUUGGUGGGAGAUAGAGCUUGUGUUUGGGGGUUUUCCCCUUGCUAGUUCUUCAUUUUUGAGAUUUAAGCUUAGCUGGUUGGUUUGUUUAUCUUGUUGUGACGAUUAGAAGAUUUUUGCAGUUUUUGUUUAUCUGACGGUCUAUUGAGCAAGAUAAACUUGACAAAGGUAAAUCAUACAAGGAGGUUCAUCAAAGUCGGAGAAUGGCAAGUUUUGUAUUUGAGUUAUGGCCAAAUAUGUGUUAGGAGAUUAUCUUUAAAACAUAUUGUACGGAAAAAAUCCGAAACAAAGCUAUAAAUGGUAAUUAUUAAUGUAUCAUGAAAAAUCUCAUCCUUAUCCAUUUAUAGGUUUAAGAAAAUCCAAUGAUUUUCUUUGCGUUGAUUCGUUUCUCAUGUCUUGGCAGUCUUGCAAUCCUUUUCAAGCAAUAUAAUCAGUCUCGGGUUUAUAAUCGAUAUUUACAGUACUAUAUAAGUCAGGUCUUAUCAUCUUCAAACUUAUCUCGUUUGGUGAAAGCUUUUUAAAUAUGGUGUAUCAGUUUUUUUGUCCAUCUAUUGUAUAUACUUAAUUAUGAUUUCUCUAAAAAAUAACAGUUGGGGAUCAUUUGUUGAUGACGAAUAUAAUAU